rnacentral:tRNA from 1 species
UGGUAAAGAAAGGAGUCAAACCAAUGUAUGCAGGACUACAGCCUGCCGCCUAACGCUCGGCCACUUUACCU